CCUACGGGGGGCAGCAGUGGGGAAUAUUGGACAAUGGGCGAAAGCCUGAUCCAGCCAUGCCGCGUGUGUGAAGAAGGCCUUCGGGUUGUAAAGCACUUUCAGUGGGGAAGAAAGCCUUGGGGCUAAUACCCUCGAGGAAGGACAUCACCCACAGAAGAAGCACCGGCUAACUCCGUGCCAGCAGCCGCGGUAAUACGGAGGGUGCGAGCGUUAAUCGGAAUUACUGGGCGUAAAGCGCGCGUAGGCGGUCUGAUAAGCCGGUUGUGAAAGCCCCGGGCUCAACCUGGGAACGGCAUCCGGAACUGUCAGGCUGGGGUGCAGGAGAGGAAGGUAGAAUUCCCGGGGUAGCGGUGAAAUGCGUAGAGAUCGGAAGGAAUACCAGUGGCGAAGGCGGCCUUCUGAACUGACACUGACGCUGAGGUGCGAAAGCGUGGGUAGCAAACAGGAUAAGAUACCCGAGUAGU
rnacentral:rRNA from 1 species